UGUGGUCUAGUGAUUAGGAUUCUUGGCUUUCACCUAGGCAGCCUGGGUUCAAUCCCCAGCA
rnacentral:tRNA from 1 species